CGAACGGUGAUCCAGGGGCUUGCUCCUGGUGAUCAGUGGCGAACGGGUGAGUAACACGUGAGCAACCUGCCCCUGACUCUGGGAUAACUGCUGGAAACGGUGGCUAAUACCGGAUAUGAGGCCUGUCCGCAUGGGUGGGUCUGGAAAGUUUUUCGGUUGGGGAUGGGCUCGCGGCCUAUCAGCUUGUUGGUGGGGUGAUGGCUCACCAAGGCGACGACGGGUAGCCGGCCUGAGAGGGCGACCGGCCACACUGGGACUGAGACACGGCCCAGACUCCUACGGGAGGCAGCAGUGGGGAAUAUUGCACAAUGGGCGCAAGCCUGAUGCAGCGACGCCGCGUGAGGGAUGAAGGCCUUCGGGUUGUAAACCUCUUUCAGCAGGGAAGAAGCGCAAGUGACGGUACCUGCAGAAGAAGCGCCGGCUAACUACGUGCCAGCAGCCGCGGUAAUACGUAGGGCGCAAGCGUUGUCCGGAAUUAUUGGGCGUAAAGAGCUCGUAGGCGGUUUGUCGCGUCUGCUGUGAAAACCUGAGGCUCAACCUCGGGCUUGCAGUGGGUACGGGCAGACUAGAGUGCGGUAGGGGUGACUGGAAUUCCUGGUGUAGCGGUGGAAUGCGCAGAUAUCAGGAGGAACACCGAUGGCGAAGGCAGGUCACUGGGCCGCAACUGACGCUGAGGAGCGAAAGCAUGGGGAGCGAACAGGAUUAGAUACCCUGGUAGUCCAUGCCGUAAACGUUGGGCACUAGGUGUGGGGCUCAUUCCACGAGUUCCGUGCCGCAGCAAACGCAUUAAGUGCCCCGCCUGGGGAGUAC
rnacentral:rRNA from 1 species